UUAUUAAUAUUUGAUAUUUUAUCACAUUAUAUUGCUUAUUGUAUAAAUAUAUUAUGAUGUUCAUGGAUCUGUGCAAUGUGAAUCAGAUCGUGAUGAGAUCAUGAUAAUAAGACCGAUUCACUUUUAAACAUAGAUCCUAAAUAAUCCUGAUCAUAGGUUACUCAAGAGGGACAUCGAGAUAACUAGACAGACUGGUGUGUUAUAUACCUGUCCAUGUGAUGGAUGCAACUGGUCUCAUAGCUGCUUAUGUGGGGACACUAUGGAUACAAUGUAGGUGCUCAUUGGAGAAUGAGUUCACUGAUUGAUCCGUUCAUAGAAUGCUGGAUGGUUAAUAAUGCCUCAUUGUCAAACAUCAAUUUAGUUGUCCUAGUUGUGUAUUUGGU
rnacentral:lncRNA from 1 species